ACAAGAAGGGAAGGAUCUACAGAGAGAAGUCUGAAAGCAAAAGUCAUUUCAGGUCUGAAACAGCCACUCAACUCGCCAUGACCUGAAGAUCACAAGUCUCUGGACCUCAAAUGUGAAACAUUUAUCUAUUCUAUUGGCUUCAAAAGGUUUUUAAACAUCAGUGCGAUUGGAAAUGCAUGGAGUGUGAGAACAUGCACAGAUGUGUGUGAAAGUGUUUGACUGACCAUCAGAGGAAGUCUCCCCAGGAACACUGUCUGAGGGAGAGUCUUCCUGUGGACUUGGCUGUGGAAGGAGCUUGAACCAGUUAGACAGAUCGAAUCCUCACUGCACAAUUGUUACGGACCAGACCGGAUCCCCGGUCAAGUACUUUAAGAAGGUAGCCAUGACCCUCACUUUUUCUCAUUUAAAGCCAUAUGUGAAAUGUGACUGCUGGCCGUUAAGCAAAACACGAUUUGUUUAAACGCUGUCAUUAAAAUACAGCUAAAGAGAGGAGUUUAGGAUAACUCUGCAGACUGGGAACUUAACAGAUACAGUAACUGUUACUAAGAAGACAUGGGGAAAGAAAUCUGAAACCAAAUGAUACAUCAACUUGUGAUGGAGCUACUUGAUUCGUUUGGAAAGGAAAUCAAUGAAAUCGUACCAAACAUCAUCUUCACUAUCCUAUCUAUCUGCAACUCUGAAAGAAUUAUGAAUCUGUACUCCAAAGUCUCUUUGUUCAGCAACACUCCCUAGGCCCUGACCAUUAAGUAUGUAAGUCCUGCUCUGAUUUGUUUUUCAAAAAUGCAGCACCUCGCAUUUAUCUGAAUUAAACUCCAUCUGCCACUCCUCAGCAUAUUGACCCAUCUAAUCAAGAUCCUGUUUAAUCAGAAGUAAACUUCUUUGCUGUCCACUAUAACUCCAAUUUUGGUGUCCUCUGCAAAUUUACUAUACCUAUGUUCACAGCCAAACCGCUUAUAUCAGUGAUGAAAAGUAAUGGACCCAGCACCGAUCCUCAUGGUGCACAUUGGUCACAGGCCUCCUGUCUGAAAAGCACCCCUCCACCACCACCCUCUGUCUUCUACCUUUGAGCCAGAACUUAGAAUUAUUAUUUUUUUCAGAAGUCAAAAUGCCUCUCCUCUUCUUCUCCUGCUCACAGUACACUGGCUGUAGCCAGCCAGCUGACAGUCCGUCCUCAACAGAGGAGAUUCCAAUCUCUUUAUUAACUGGAGGUGCUUAAAUCUCUUGGUUAAUUCUUUUUUUAAAAAUCCCCUCACUACUGCUACUACGGUAGUGCUUGUUUUUCCCCAGCAUCCAUAUUGUGUGUGUGGAGAUGUGAGACAGCAGAUACAUUCAAUUUUGCUCAAAGCACACAAUUUGCAGGCAGUCAAUCCAUUAAUAUUUUAUUAAUUCCUACUUUGGAAGUAGAACCAGUCUGACUCAACAUUAGAGUCUGCCUGUCUCCUAACCUCACACCUUUAAUACAUUCUCUGCGCUGAAAUGUCACCUUCAAAUUACAUUGAGAACGUUCCUUAUAAGUAGUUGUGGGAUUUACAUAUUAAUGAACUGAAACCUGCAACCCAUUCUAAAAGAUGAAUGACGUAACAGCAAUCUAGAUUUGUUCCAUUCAGUUGUUUGACACAGAAUUUAUACCAAAAGAUUACAAUGUCUUGUGAUCUUGCUCCACAGCUACCUGAUGAAGGAGCAGUGCUCCAAAAGCUAAUACUUCCAAAUAAACCUGUUGAACUAUAA